AACAUCACAAGUAUCAUAAAUUUCUUGUAAUGAACGAGUCUUACUUGGAGGUGAAUCUGCAUAAGUUGCUUCUUCAAUUCUCGGGUUAGAAGGCUCAUGAGUGUUAGAUGUUGAUCCAAUGUUUUCAUCGGCAAUGAUAUCUGGAGUGGUGUCUUGAUCUUUUUCCCAUUUCCAUGAACCUGCUUCAUCAAAGAUAACAUCUCUGGAAAUCACA
rnacentral:lncRNA from 1 species